GCGGGCGUGGCGGAACUGGCAUACGCGCUGGACUUAGGAUCCAGUGGCUGAAAGGCCUUGGGGGUUCAAAUCCCCCCGCCCGCA
rnacentral:tRNA from 1 species